GAUGACCGCUAGCGGCACGCUUCAUUCAUGCAAGUCGAGGGGCAGCAUAAAGUACUUGUACUUUGAUGGCGACCGGCGAACGGGUGCGUAACGCGUAUGCAACUUACCUUUUACUAGAGAAUAGCCAAGAGAAAUUUUGAUUAAUGCUCUAUACUCUUUUUAACUCACAUGAGUUUUUAAGAAAAGCUCCGGCGGUAAAAGAUGGGCAUGCGUCCUAUUAGCUUGUAGGUGAGGUAACGGCUCACCUAAGCUCCGAUAGGUAGGGGUCCUGAGAGGGAGAUCCCCCACACUGGUACUGAGACACGGACCAGACUUCUACGGAAGGCAGCAGUAAGGAAUAUUGGACAAUGGAGGAAACUCUGAUCCAGCGAUGCCGCGUGAAGGAAGACGGCCCUAUGGGUUGUAAACUUCUUUUAUACAGGAAGAAACCUUUCCACGUGUGGAAAGCUGACGGUACUGUAAGAAUAAGGAUCGGCUAACUCCGUGCCAGCAGA
rnacentral:rRNA from 1 species